CUACGGGCUGCAGCAGUGAGGAAUAUUGCACAAUGGGGGGAACCCUGAUGCAGCAACGCCGCGUGGAGGAUGACGCAUUUCGGUGUGUAAACUCCUUUUAUAUGUCAAGAAAAUGACGGUAGCAUAUGAAUAAGCACCGGCUAACUCCGUGGCCAGCAGCCGCGGUAAUACGGAGGGUGCAAGCGUUACUCGGAAUCACUGGGCGUAAAGGAAGCGUAGGCGGGUUGGAAAGUCAGGUGUGAAAUCCUACAGCUUAACUGUAGAACUGCACUUGAAACUUCUAAUCUAGAGUAUGGGAGGGGGAGAUGGAAUUAGUGGGGUAGGGGUAAAAUCCGUAGAUAUCACUAGGAAUACCUAAAGCGAAGGCGAUCUCCUGGAACAUUACUGACGCUAAGGCGUGAAAGCGUGGGGAGCAAACAGGAUUAGAUACCCCAGUAGUC
rnacentral:rRNA from 1 species